CACCCGAAGUCGGUGGGGUAACCUUUUGGAGCCAGCCGCCGAAGGUGGGACAGAUGAUUGGGGUGAAGUCGUAACAAGGUAGCCGUAUCGGAAGGUGCGGCUGGAUCACCUCCUUU
rnacentral:rRNA from 1 species